UGGGGAAUAUUGGACAAUGGGCGAAAGCCUGAUCCAGCAAUGCCGCGUGAGUGAUGAAGGCCUUAGGGUUGUAAAGCUCUUUUACCCGGGAAGAUAAUGACUGUACCGGGAGAAUAAGCUCCGGCUAACUCCGUGCCAGCAGCCGCGGUAAUACGGAGGGAGCUAGCGUUGUUCGGAAUUACUGGGCGUAAAGCGCACGUAGGCGGCUUUGUAAGUUAGAGGUGAAAGCCUGGGGCUCAACUCCAGAAUUGCCUUUAAGACUGCAUCGCUUGAACACGAGAGAGGUGAGUGGAAUUCCGAGUGUAGAGGUGAAAUUCGUAGAUAUUCGGAAGAACACCAGUGGCGAAGGCGGCUCACUGGCUCGUUGUUGACGCUGAGGUGCGAAAGCGUGGGGAGCAAACAGG
rnacentral:rRNA from 2 species